CAGAGGCUCCAGCUGUGCAGAGAACAGACACAAACCUACAACUGAGAUAACAGCAGACUUUACAACAGUAGAAGUUACAACAGUAGAAGUUACAACAGUAGAUGUUACAACAGUAGAAGUUACAGCAGUAGAAGUUACAGCAGUAGAAGUUACAGCAGUAGAAGUUACAGCAGUAGAAGUUACAACAGUAGAAGUUACAGCAGUAGAAGUUACAGCAGUAGAAGUUACAACAGUAGAAGGUACAACAGUAGAAGGUACAACAGUAGAAGUUACAGCAGUAGAAGUUACAACAGUAGAAGUUACAGCAGUAGAAGUUACAGCAGUAGAAGUUACAACAGUAGGAGGUACAGUAGUAGAAGUUACAGCAGUAUAAGUUACAACUGAGAUAACAGCAGAGUUUACAACAGGAGAAGUUACAGCAGUAGAAGUUACAGUAGUAGAAGUUACUUCAUUUGAGCACAGUUGUGUAAAGAUGUCAGAGGAAAUCUAUGAAAACAGAGAUGGAUUUAAAGGGAAAAAACCAGAUGAGACCAUGAAUAUUGAUGAUCAUAUACCCAUCAACAAAAGACCCAUCAUGCCCUGCAAGAAGGAUGGAGUUGGUGAUCAACAUUCAGUGUUUUGUCAGUGGUGGAAGAGAUACUCUGGAGCUGCUGCAGUGUGUCUGGGGCUGCUGUGUGUUCUCCUACUGGCUGGGAUCAUAGGCCUCUUACUCUACCAGAGAAACCAAUUGACCAGCUCCAACACCAUGACCAAAGAGAGAUACCAGUUACAGAUCAGCGGAAACAACCUGACUGAAGAGAGAGACCAGCUACAGACUAGCAACAACACGCUGACCAAAGAGAGAGACCAGCAACAGACCAUCGACAACACUCUGAUCAAAGAGAGAGACCAGCUACAGACCAGAUACAACACCCUGACCAAAGAGAGAGACCAGCUACAGACCAGAUACAACACCCUGACCGAAGAGAGAGACCAGCUACAGAAAGAGACAGAACGUCUGAAACAAUCUUUAGUUGAGAAAG
rnacentral:lncRNA from 1 species